rnacentral:rRNA from 1 species
AAGCGUUGUCCGGAAUCAUUGGGCGUAAAGAGCGUGUAGGCGGUUCGGUAAGUCGGCUGUGAAAGUCCAGGGCUCAACCCUGGGAUGCCGGUCGAUACUGCCGGACUAGAGUUCGGAAGAGGCGAGUGGAAUUCCCGGUGUAGCGGUGAAAUGCGCAGAUAUCGGGAGGAACACCUAUGGCGAAGGCAGCUCGCUGGGACGUUACUGACGCUGAGACGCGAAAGCGUGGGGAGCGAACAGG